AGUCAGCGUGACAACCCUGUAAUUCGGGUCUAUGUCACAAGUUACUUUUAAAUGGGACAUAUCGAGCUCUUUGGUACUUUGACAGCUGGACCUUCCUGUAAUUCAGGUUAUGGUCUCUCCUAUUUGGCUAAUGCCAGUGACCACCCUGUAAUGAGGGGACAGGUUGCAUCUUGCUUUUGAAAUCUGGGGGAUUAGAAUCAUUUCCGUAACAUGGGCAGCUUGACCUCCCUGUAACUAGGGUUUGAGUCUCCGAGGCCCUUUGGGUCUCCAUUAGCUGGUUAGUGAGUGUGACUGCCCUGCAAUCAGGGUGCAAGUCACCUCCCCCUAAAUGUGGGGGGGCAUUGAGCUCUUUGUUAAACUGAGCAAUAUGACCGCCCUGUAACUAGGGCCCGGGUCUCUGCCCACUUGCUCAUUUGGCUUUACGCCAUGCUCUGCCCCACUAGUCAGCGUGACAACCCUGUAAUUAGGGUCCAUGUCACAAGUUACUUUUAAAUGGGACAUAUCGAGCUCUUUGGUACUUUGACAGCUGGACCUUCCUGUAAUUCAGGUUAUGGUCUCUCCUAUUUGGCUAAUGCCAGCGACCACCCUGUACUGAGGGGACAGGUUGCAUCUCGCUUUUGUAAUCUGGCGGAUUAGAAUCAUUUCCGUAACAUGGGCAGGUUGACCUCCCUGUAACUAGGGUUUGGUCUCCGAGGCCCUUUGGGUCUCUUGGCCUCGUGCUGUCUUCACAGCGUGCUGCGAAGGACCGCCCUGUCAUCAGGGAUCGGGUCUUUGCCCUCUAGUCUCUUGGCACUAGGCCAAAUGCAGCCACUGCCCCGAAUGAGCACCCUGUAAACAGGGUACAGGUCUCAUCAGCUACUCUUUAUGGUGCCCCCAUGAGACUGUGUCCAGAGUUCCGGCCCUUUAAGCAGCGCUUGCAACGUGCCUGGAAUUCUGCAGCCAAGUCUCCUGCUUUCUACUCCCUUCUUGGACUCUUGGAGACCUGACAUGCUAUUGGUGGCAUCAUGAAGCACAAGUGGAGAAGAAGGAAGUGUCAGGAAUGCCACAGACAGAGGAGAAAAGAAGAUGGAGGAAAAGGAAAGGAACUCUGGGCACAGUACCCUCCCUCAAAUCAGCCUCAGGUCAUGUAAUUAGACUGUAUGGGAAUCUCGAGCCUUUUAAUACCUUGAGCAGCGUGACCGCCCUGUAAGCUGGGUCCCGGUCUGUCCCCUUUGGACAUUCUGCUCCGUCAUCUGGCUAGUGUGAGUGACUGCCCUGUAAUCAGGGUGCCAGUCACCUCCCCCUAAAUGUGGAGGGGCAUUGAGCUCUUUCAUUAAUUGAGCAUUGUGACCGGCCUGUAAUUAGGGCCCGGGUCUCUGCCCACUUGCUCAUUUGGCAUUGCGCCGUGCUCUGCCCCACUAGUCAGCGUGACAACCCUGUAAUUAGGGUCCAUGUCACAAGGCUCUCCUGAAUGGGACAUAUCGAGCUCUUUGGUACUUUCACAGCUGGACCGUCCUGUAAUUCAGGUUAUGGUCUCUCCUCUUUGGCUAAUGCCAGUGACCACCCUGUAAUGAGGGGACAGGUUGCAUCUUGCUUUUGAAAUCUGGGGGAUUAGAAUCAUUUCCGUAACAUGGGCAGCUUGACCUCCCUGUAACUAGGGUUUGAGUCUCCGAGGCCCUUUGGGUCUCCAUUAGCUGGUUAGUGAGUGUGACUGCCCUGCAAUCAGGUUGCAAGUCACCUCCCCCUAAAUGUGGGGGGGCAUUGAGCUCUUUGUUAAACUGAGCAAUGUGACCGCCCUGUAACUAGGGCCCGGGUCUCUGCCCACUUGCUCAUUUGGCU